AUUGAACGCUGGCGGCAGGCCUAACACAUGCAAGUCGAGCGGAGCGGCGGACGGGUGAGUAAUGCCUAGGAAUCUGCCUGGUAGUGGGGGAUAACGUCCGGAAACGGGCGCUAAUACCGAAUACUAUCAGAUGAGCCUAGGGCGGAUUAGCUAGUUGGUGGGGUAAAGGCCUACCACGGCUACGAGCCGUCACUGGUCUGAGAGGAUGAGCAGUCAUACUGGGACUGAAACACGGUCCAUACUCCUGCGGGAGGCAGCAUUGGGGAAUAUUGUACAAUGGGCGAAAGCCUGAUACAGCCAUGCCGCGUGUGUGAAGAAGGUCUUCGGAUUGUAAAGUACUUUAAGUUGGUAGGCGUUACCAACAGAAUAAGCACCGGCUAACUUCGGGCCAGCAGCCGCGGUAAUUC
rnacentral:rRNA from 1 species